CCUGGGACUUGCGUCCCAGGCUAUUGCAUUCCGUGGCUUCGCCACU
rnacentral:sRNA from 2 species